AGGCAGUUAGACGCCCUUUUUGCUUACAGGGCAGCGCCGUGUUUUGGCAUCAGCCAUGGCUUGUUUGACGGGUUUGGAUGGGAGACGUGAUGGGAGCAGCAGUAUCCGGCAGCCAGAACCAAAAUUAACGUGCUCCAUCCACUGUAGCCGCAGAGGCAAAGCAGCGCGACGCGGUUGCUUGUAGCCCUUCUUGUAUCGUGUAACCUGUAGUGUUCUCCAACAGCUUCUCUUUUAAGGGAAAGAAGCAGUUCUUCACUUACCUGUUACAGUCACUGGAGGAAAAAAAUACUAUGUUUGUGAUUCAGUAUUGAAUCGUUCAUGGCGUACAAGAUUGUAGCUGCUGUAACUGUAAUGCAGCAGUCAGACGUGGAUGCUACCAGAUGGACAUCUGAAAUUCAUUCAUAUCUGCAAGGUACUUCAAGCUGUACAACAACUGUGAAGAAGGGUAUAGUAAGCCACACCAUCACUCCUGUUAGAACUGGCCAUUCCCCAGGUUGGAACAAAGGAGCCAGAAGAAGAGAUAUCUUUGUGAUUCAUCCACUUACACAAGAGUAGGAAGAGCUGCAUUCUCACUGUUCCUGUGGUUGUGUAUUUAUUAUACAGUCAUUAAGCUGGGGAGAAAAGAAAAUGCUAAGUCAAACACUUUCCACCUUUGACCUAAAUCUUGUACCUGGCAGUUUUCUUGGUAAGUGAGAAGUGUUUUCACCUUCACUAUAGGAUUAAAAAAAAAAAGAGACAAAGUUCAUGUCAGAGAAAUUUGCAGAUUUAUUUUGGCAACCGCAGUGGCAAAGAGCUAAAGAAACUGGCUGGUGCAUCAUAAGUCCCUAUUUGACUGUCACUGGAGCUCAAAGGACAACUCGUAACAAUCGGUAAAAACAUGACUCAUGGGCUCAAAGCCAAAAGGUGAACGUUUCUGGGUUGUUAGCUAAUCUAGGAGAUCUGACUCAUUUUGAGCUACAGUCACUUCAUACAAGAUCAUAUGAUCUUAUUUAGCUAACACUGUAUCUGAUUAUUAUUUAAAAUGAGUUCAUCGCUUGAUUGCAGUAAUUCAUUGUUACAAGUUUAUAAGCACAAUGAAGGGUGGGAUUCACUUGCCUUAUGGUAUUCCACUUGAAUCUCCAAAAGGUCACUUUUCUCUCAAAGUUCUUGUAUCACAUCUGCCAGCUCUGUACAGAUGUCUCUUACACCUUUUGGAUGACUGGAGCAGCCACUGCGAACUGUUGAACAGUCAGCUGAAUUUCACUGUAAGCAUGCAGAAACAUUUUUCUGUUAACCACUUUUGCUCUCAGAAUAGUCUGAACAACAGCUUGGCUUCAGGAUUUUGACAAGAACUAAAUUACUCUCUUGAAGGUAAUGCGGUCAUUCCCUAGCUUUGGCUAUCAGAAGUGUGUUAGUAUUUUACAUUCAUCAAGUUAUUGUGUUGGAUAGACCACAGAGUAGAGGGGCAAGGGAGUAGGCUGAAACGUUCGCUAGGGUGUAGAGGCAAAAUGUAUGCAAAAUGGAGUAAUCACCCAGAUUUAGAUAUAGUGGUCUGAUAAAAAAAAUCACUGCAGCUAAAUUUGAAGUGUCUGGAAAUUACACUGCUGGCCAUCUCUCAAAUUCUCAUAAAUUUUAUUAUUAUUCUUAGUUUGAAAUGUUUUGUGUUUGGUCUCCGAUUAUGACUGAAAUAUAGGGAAGGGAAACAUAACGCAUUUCCUGUAGAUUCAAAUGACUUUUGUACAGAUCCAGUUCACAUCAGUCUAGAUAUUCCUGUUCAUUUAGAACAUAAGAAGUUUCCAUGUACAUGUUACAACUUGUAAGAAAACUUGCAGAAGUUUUUAAGGCCACUUUCUCUAAUAGGUAGCUUUAUAUUAUGGAAUUUAUUGUAUCAUUCAUAAAUAAAGAUGAUCACUGAAAUGUUAACAUCUUACGGUAUUGUAUUUGUUUAAAUAUAUAUAUUUGAAAGUUUCAUGGGCAAUUUUCUUCACCUUUCAGGCAUUUACAUAACUUGUCAAACUAAGAAAGAAAGGUUAUUACGCUUAUAUUGAUUACAGGUUUUUGUUUUUACAGAACAGGUGUGACAGUUGUCUCUGGUUUUAGCACACACCUCCCCACACACCCCAAAUCCAGAUAGGACUGAAGAACUGUUACCCUAUAAGCUUAAGGAACAGAGAAAUGCAAAAAUAAGUUUCCCAGAGAGUAUACUCCGCU